rnacentral:rRNA from 1 species
UACGUGAGGGUGCAAGCGUUGUCCGGAAUUAUUGGGCGUAAAGAGCUCGUAGGCGGCUUGUCGCGUCGUCUGUGAAAUCCCGCGGCUCAACUGCGGGCUGGCAGUCGAUACGGGCAGGCUGGAGUUCGGUAGGGGAGACUGGAAUUCCUGGUGUAGCGGUAGAAAUGCGCAGAUAUCAGGAGGAACACCGGUGGCGAAGGCGGGUCUCUGGGCCGAUACUGACGCUGAGGAGCGGAAAGCGUGGGGAGCGAACAGG